UAUCUUUCCGCUGUCCACGUGACCACGCGAGGUGACGUUCUGCCAGGAGAACAUGAUGCUCUGCGGGAACCACAUGAGCAACACACAGCCCCUUACUGAGAAAGCUUCCAAACUAUAAAACUGCAGUUGAGAAGGAAAUGAAACAUGAAGGUCGAUGCCUCGCAGAAGGAAAGGAACAGCGUGGGCAUCAUCAGCACCAGCCUGAAGACUUUGUCCACCUCUCACGCUGUCCUGAGAAU
rnacentral:lncRNA from 1 species